UUACCGUGAAAAAAUUAGAGUGUUCAAAGGCAGAUCCAAUUUUCUGCCACCGAAUACAUUAGCAUGGGAUAAUGGAAUAGGACCCUGUCCUCCUAUUUUCAGUUGGUUUGCCGCGAGGACCAGGGUAAUGAUUAAUAGGGAUAGUUGGGGGCAUUAAUAUUUUGUCAGAGGUGAAAUUCUUGGAGCUAUGAAAGAUUAACUUCUGCGAAAGCAUCUGCCAAGGAUGGAUUCAUUAAUCAAGAACGAAAGUUAGGGGAUCGAAGACGAUCAGAUACCGUCGUAGUCUUAACCAUAAACGAUGCCGAUUAGGAGACGUUGAAUACAACACCACCAUGCGCAUUGCGGUCGUCUUUGGUGUCGCUCACAAGGCGGCACCGGGGCGGCUUAGCUCGCAUGGCACCGGUGAAUGACUCCCUAGG
rnacentral:rRNA from 1 species